rnacentral:rRNA from 1 species
GAUCUGGCUCAGGACGAACGCUGGCGGCGUGCUUAACACAUGCAAGUCGAACGAGAAUCUGCUGAAGGAGGAUUCGUCCAACGGAAGCAGAGGAAAGUGGCGGACGGGUGAGUAACGCGUGAGGAACCUGCCUUGAAGAGGGGGACAACAGUUGGAAACGACUGCUAAUACCGCAUGACGCAUAGAGGUCGCAUGAUCUUUAUGCCAAAGAUUUAUCGCUUCAAGAUGGCCUCGCG